GAGAGUAUAGCUCAGUGGUAGAGCACAUGCCUAGUAUGCAUGAGACUCCAGGUUUAAUUCCCAGGAUCCCCG
rfam:Heterocephalus glaber contig172446, whole genome shotgun sequence.